rnacentral:rRNA from 1 species
UACGUAGGAGGCGAGCGUUGUCCGGAAUUACUGGGCGUAAAGUGUGCGCAGGCGGCUUCGCAAGUCGAGUGUGAAAUCCCCGAGCUUAACUUGGGAAUUGCGCUCGAAACUACGGAGCUGGAGUGUGGCAGAGGAAGGUGGAAUUCCACGUGUAGCGGUGAAAUGCGUAGAUAUCGUUUGGAACGCCAAUGGUGAAAACAGGUUGCUGGGAGUGUGCUGACGCUGAGAACACGAAAGCCAGGGGAGCAAACGGG